rnacentral:rRNA from 1 species
UGGAAUCGCUAGUAAUCGCGGAUCAGCAUGCCGCGGUGAAUACGUUCCCGGGCCUUGUACACACCGCCCGUCACACCAUGAGAGUCGGGAACACCCGAAGUCCGUAGCCUAACCGCAAGGGGGCGCGGCCGAAGGUGGGUUCGAUAAUUGGGGUGAAGUCGUAACAAGGUAGC